rnacentral:rRNA from 1 species
CCCUUAGAUGUUCUGGGCCGCACGCGUGCUACACUGAGUGGAUCAGCGGGUCAGGUUGCGCGAAAGCGUUUCCUAAUCUUUAAAUCCGCUCGUGAUGGGGAUUGACGGUUGCAAUUUUCUGUCAUGAACGAGGAAUACCUUGUAAGCGCGGGUCAUCAUCCCGCGCUGAAUACGUCCCUGCCCUUUGUACACACCGCCCGUCGCUACUACCGAUUGAAUGGCUUAGUGAGCCUUUGGGAUUGGCAGCUUGUACCGGCAACGGUAGCAGGCCGCUGAAAACUUAGGCAAACUUGGUCAUUUAGAGGAAGUAAAAGUCGUAACA